rnacentral:rRNA from 1 species
CAGUAGCCGCGGUAAUACGAAGGGGGCUAGCGUUGUUCGGAAUUACUGGGCGUAAAGCGCACGUAGGCGGAUUGUUAAGUCAGGGGUGAAAUCCCGAGGCUCAACCUCGGAACUGCCUUUGAUACUGGCGAUCUUGAGUCCGGGAGAGGUGAGUGGAACUGCGAGUGUAGAGGUGAAAUUCGUAGAUAUUCGCAAGAACACCGGUGGCGAAGGCGGCUCACUGGCCCGGUACUGACGCUGAGGCACGAAAGCGUGGGGAGCAAACAGGAUUAGAUACCCCCGUAGUCCCUGUCUCUUAUAC